UAUGUAUUGCCAGCCGCCGCGGUAAUACGUAGGGAGCAAGCGUUGUCCGGAUUUACUGGGUGUAAAGGGUGCGUAGGCGGCUUUGCAAGUCAGAUGUGAAAUCUAUGGGCUCAACCCAUAAACUGCAUUUGAAACUGUAGAGCUUGAGUGAAGUAGAGGCAGGCGGAAUUCCCCGUGUAGCGGUGAAAUGCGUAGAGAUGGGGAGGAACACCAGUGGCGAAGGCGGCCUGCUGGGCUUUAACUGACGCUGAGGCACGAAAGCGUGGGUAGCAAACAGG
rnacentral:rRNA from 1 species